UUGGCUGGAUUAUUCCAGCAUACACAAUGCCGGCAGAUGCCCAGCACAUUGCUGUUCUUCGGGUUGUGGUCAGGGAGGAUUUCAGCCGCAGUCUGGCAGAAAGACUCGUCUCGCAUAUCGAGCAAGUUUUGAAGGAAAUGGACUCUCUUCCUGUCCAUGUUUCCACCACAACUGCUAUUGUUAGGGAAAAACUGGAGAACACUGAAGGGAAGAAGGUAGUUAAAAAGAGUGAGAGGGAGAUACAGGAAGAGAUCACUCGGUAUUGGAGGCGACUUGCGGAUGGCAAGAGAAUUGGAGUGUGCUAGGCAUCUAAUAAGGACUUCUGUUCUUGUCGUUUGCAAUAGUAAGGUCAACUUGUUUGUAAUAUCAUCAAUGUGAGGAAAUAUAUCAUGUUGUGUAUAUUUAAUUUCAUGGUUGUAGUUGCUGAAAGUGAAUAUGCACUAUAUUUUGAAGAUAAUCAAUAUGCACUUU
rnacentral:misc_RNA from 1 species